UACGGGAGGCAGCAGUGGGGAAUAUUGCACAAUGGGCGCAAGCCUGAUGCAGCCAUGCCGCGUGUAUGAAGAAGGCCUUCGGGUUGUAAAGUACUUUCAGUCGUGAGGAAGGUGUUAAGGUUAAUAACCUUAGCAAUUGACGUUAGCGACAGAAGAAGCACCGGCUAACUCCGUGCCAGCAGCCGCGGUAAUACGGAGGGUGCGAGCGUUAAUCGGAAUUACUGGGCGUAAAGGGCACGCAGGCGGUUAAUUAAGUUGGAUGUGAAAUCCCGGGGCUUAACCUGGGAAUGGCAUUCAAGACUGGUUAGCUAGAGUCUUGUAGAGGGGGUAGAAUUCCAUGUGUAGCGGUGAAAUGCGUAGAGAUGUGGAGGAAUACCGGUGGCGAAGGCGGCCCCUGGACAAAGGCUGACGCUCAUGUGCGAAAGCGUGGGGAGCAAAC
rnacentral:rRNA from 1 species